UGCCCUGCAGUCUGGGACAACAUUUGGAAACGAAUGCUAAUACCGGAUAUUAUGUGAAUUUCGCAUGAAAUUCAUAUGAAAGCUAUAUGCGCUGCAGGAG
rnacentral:ncRNA from 1 species